CCUACGGGUGACAGCAGUGGGGAAUAUUGGGCAAUGGGCGCAAGCCUGACCCAGCAAUGCCGCGUGAAGGAAGAAGGCUUUCGGGUUGUAAACUUCUUUGACAGGGGAAGAGCAGAAGACGGUACCCUGAAAACAAGCCACGGCUAACUACGUGCCAGCAGCCGCGGUAAUACGUAGGUGGCAAGCGUUGUCCGGAUUUAUUGGGUUUAAAGGGUGCGCAGGCGGCCUGUUAAGUCAGCGGUAAAAGCCCGGGGCUCAACCCCGGCGAGCCGUUGAAACUGGCGGGCUGGAGUUGGAGAGAAGUACGCGGAAUGCGCGGUGUAGCGGUGAAAUGCUUAGAUAUCGCGCAGAACCCCGAUUGCGAAGGCAGCGUACCGGCUCCACACUGACGCUGAGGCACGAAAGCGUGGGUAUCGAACAGGAUUAGAUACCCUUGUAGUC
rnacentral:rRNA from 1 species